GUGCCUCACUCUAGUGAGGGUUUCCAGACUGUGCUGCCUCAUUUCCUGAGACUCUCCCCUGUCUGGGAAGUAUUUCUUUAUAAAUUUUCUCACGUUUACUUUAGUUUUCUUACAGUAUUUGUUGGGGUUACUUUUAAUCUACCAAUGUUGCAUGAUGUCCCAAACUAUCUUUAGAGACUAGAAGCAUUCUGAGUCUUAGGCUAAGUGGGCCUAGCCUCCAAUCUGAAACAGGAACAAAAAGGAUAUCCUUUAAAAUGUUAAAAGUCAUCUGCAACCUCAUAUCAUUGAUUGUUUUACUCAAAACUAUAUUUAAACUAAUAGGCACUCUUUUCAACUCCAGAAAUUUCCAAAGGCAGAAAGAAAUGCUAGAUUUAGAGUCUACUUAAUUUCCCUCUGGUAGCUUCGCAACUCCAGAUUUGGGUGGGGGAGGUGUAAUUAGGUAAGUUGAGUGCUGCUCUAAAAAAAUUAAAACAUGGUAUAUUGAAGAUU
rnacentral:sRNA from 1 species